rnacentral:rRNA from 1 species
CGGGUGAGUAACACGUAUCCAACCUGCCGUCUACUCUUGGACAGCCUUCUGAAAGGAAGAUUAAUACAAGAUGGCAUCAUGAGUUCACAUGUUCACAUGAUUAAAGGUAUUCCGGUAGACGAUGGGGAUGCGUUCCAUUAGAUAGUAGGCGGGGUAACGGCCCACCUAGUCUUCGAUGGAUAGGGGUUCUGAGAGGAAGGUCCCCCACAUUGGAACUGAGACACGGCCCAG